rnacentral:tRNA from 1 species
UGCAUCGGCCGGGAAUCGAACCCGGGCCGCCCGCAUGGCAGGCGAGAAUUCUACCACUGAACCACCGAUGG